GCUUUAGGACAUUAUCGUGACAAAGACGUGGGAGGUGCGCUCUGAAGGCUGUCGCUGACCCUUUCGGGGGUCGUGCACGCCGGAGGGGGUCCUCUCACGUGAAAUCCAUCUCACCCUUUUGUGCAUCACCGCGUGGGUUCCCCUCUUCGGAGGGGGCUCGCGUUUUCACACAAACCCCUUUGAUGAAUGUGUAGUAUGUUUUUUUUCUUUUGCGAUGACACGCAAUCAAUACAACUUUCAACAACGGAUCUCUUGGCUCUCGCAUCGAUGAAGAACGCAGCGAAAUGCGAUACGUAAUGUGAAUUGCAGAAUUCAGUGAAUCAUCGAAUCUUUGAACGCACCUUGCGCCCCUUGGUAUUCCGAGGGGCACACCCGUUUGAGUGUCGUGAAAUCCUCAACCUCCUGGGCUUUUUUUUUGGUCUAGGGGGCUUGGACUUUGGAGGCCUCUGCUGGACCGAAAGGGCUAGCUCCUCUCAAAUGAAUUAGCCGGGUCCCCUUUGCUGAACCUUGACGUGUGAUAAUAUGCUUUCCACGCCUUGGCCUUUGGCUCUGUCACCUUCUGGGACCUGCUUCCAAUCGUCUCUCCGUGAGACAAUGUUCGAGCUUGCCUCGACCACGCACCCUUGACCUCAAAUCGGGUGAGACUACCCGCUGAACUUAAGCAUAUCAAUAAGGAGAA
rnacentral:sRNA from 1 species